rnacentral:rRNA from 1 species
AACGUAGGUGGCGAGCGUUAUCCGGAUUCAUUGGGCGUAAAGAGCUUGUAGGUGGCGGCGUAAGUUGGACGUGAAAUCGCCCGGCUCAACUGGGGAGGGUCAUUCGAUACUGAUCGACUGGAAGGCAGGAGAGGGAAGCGGAAUUCCCGGUGUAGUGGUGAAAUGCGUAGAUAUCGGGAGGAACACCAGUGGCGAAGGCGGCUUCCUGGCCUGUUCUUGACGCUGAGGCGCGAAAGCUAGGGGAGCAAACGGG